CUUCGCGAUGGGAUGUUAGGAAGCACAUCUCGACUGAGCAGGAAGGAUCUAGAGAUGGGUGCUUUACUACUCAAACUACCCACAGCCGCCAUAGAGCCAGCCAACCUUCAGUAAAAGGAUGCCCAUGGGUGCCCUCUGCCUUCCACUGCCCACAGCUACCAUGUGCUGAGAGUUCGUGAUGGCCCGGGCAGAGUGCUUGGUUCGCUGGUCACAUCUAAUUCACGAGCCCCCGUACAGAGCAAAGGUUAUUGUUCCCGUCUUGGAGAUGUGAGAGUGCAGCUGUCAGACAGACACAGAGACCAGAAGCAGAAGUGACACGGCAAAGCAGCAGCCCAACACGGACAAAGAGAAACCGAGGACGAAGAGAGACUGGAGAGCCAUGGACAGAGACAGCCAAAUAAACCUCAGACAGAGUCCAGCCAGCUGACUAGACGUCUAUGGCUGGCAAUCAGCAUUUCAGAUCAGCAGGAGAGAUCUUGAGUUGUCACACUGAGCCCAUAGCAAAGCAAUCUGCCAUUGGAGCCAU